AUUGAACGCUGGCGGCAGGCCUAACACAUGCAAGUCGAACGAGUGGCGGACGGGUGAGUAAUGUCUGGGAAACUGCCUGAUGGCGGGGGAUAACUACUGGAAACGGUAGCUAAUACCGCAUACCAUCAGAUGUGCCGAGAUGGGAUUAGCUAGUUGGUGGGGUAACGGCUAACCAAGGCGACGAUCCGUAGCUGGUCUGAGAGGAUGACCAGCCACACUGGAACGUAGACACGGCCCAGACUCCUACGGGAGGCAGCAGUGGGGAAUAUUGGACAAUGGGCGCAACCCUGAUACAGCCAUCCCGCGUGUAUGAAGAAGGCCUUCGGGUUGUAAAGUACUUUCAGCGGGGAGGCGGUACCCGCAGAAGAAGCACCGGCUAACUCCGUGCCAGCAGCCGCGGUAAUAC
rnacentral:rRNA from 1 species